AAAAAAGUAUGGAGUUUAGGUAGUAUUGGAUGGCUUAAAACUUAAAAAUUUUGGCGGUGUUUUAAUCUUAUUAGAGGAAUCUGUUUUAUAAUCGAUAAUACACGACAUAUCUCACUUAAACUAAGUUUGUAUAUCGUUGUGAUAAUAAUAUUUUAUAAUAAUUAUUGGGAAUAAUUUUAUUUUUGAUGUCAGAUCAAGGUUCAGCUGAUGUUUAAGAAAAGGAUGGAUUACAAUGUAGGAAUAUAUUACGGAAUUUGUUUUUUAGAAGUAAAAUGAAGGAGGAUUUAAAAGUAUUUUUAUAAUAAUAUGUUAAAUUGAAUUAGCUCUAAAACAUGC
rnacentral:rRNA from 1 species